CACAUUUUAAAAUUAUUAAUCACAUCUUUUUUUUUUUAAUCUUGAAAAAAUAUGGGUAUAAAUACUUUGAGUCAUUUAUGUGGUCAAAGUGUACACUGUCAACUAAACAAUUAUGAGUUUUGAACUCCGAAGUAGUUCAAAUAAAUUAACAUUUUUUUUUUUUAUGAAACUAAAUAAAAAACUUUAAGAUUCUAUAACACGAUAAUUUUAUUAAAUGACAUAACUGACAUUUUUUAAACGGUAAAUUUAAAAGGAAACUUAUUUUUUAGGACUCCACAACUAUCGAUUUUGUUCAUUACAAUUAUAAUCGAAUUAUUAACUAUGUGAUUUAAAUGUGACAACUAUAUCAACUUUUCAGCAGCUAUGUAUAUUGCAAAAAUUUGUCAAAUAAAUAGCCAUGUGUUGCCAUGUUAUAUACAUUUAAAUCUUAUCGAUAUUUUAGUAAAUAUACUGUUUUUUCUUUUUAUUCUCGUUAGAGUUCAUUCGUUAUAUCUUUAUCUCUGAAAUGACUAACUUCAGUCCCAAUGAUGAUCUAUUAAUCUGACUAAAAUGUAAUUGUAUAGGUAUUCCAAAGUACAUGUAAUGAAAAUUUAGAGAUAUUUUUCAAAUAGUUAUUUAAUUUAUAUUAUUGCCAAGCGUCACAUGCCAACAUCAGAGUUUUUUCAUGAAAAAUAGUGUGUGUAUAUAAUACGAAAUAGUAUAUUAGAAUUUGCAGUCACUCAUAUUGAAUAGCUUUAAAUGGCAAUUACAACCUAUAUGCCUGCACACAAAAAGACACAUUUGAGUGAUACUUGUCUUCGAUUAUUGCCAGAGACGAGUGGUAUCGUCUACGUUCAGGAGGAGACGCCUGGAAUCACCCGUUGGAAUCGGAAGUCAAGCGCUGUGACGUGCAUGUGAUAGUAAAAAUAUGAUUCAAAAUUGUCACGAUGAGUUGUGCGCAUAUCAUAACCACAGACGCAAAUAUCCAAAAUCGGUUUUUCGAUUGCUCCAAUGUACCUGAUAAAUAUACCGAGCUUAUAUUGGUUUUACCGUAUCCAACGAGAAUAAAGUAUAGCAUGGACUGUUAUAUGCUAGUAAAUGAAUGGACGAUUGAAUGAUUGGACAAUAAAUUAUAUUAUUUUUUCAUAAUAUUUGAUUGUUAACUGAAAUAUUACUCAUUUAUAUACAAAUAGAAAACAAUAAUAAAAUACGGACCGGGGCCGGACGAGAGAAGCAAGACUAGUGCCAAAUACUUUGUUUCCGUAUUCUGUCACUAUAAUAAUUAUUAUUUUAUUAUUAUUAAUUUUUUUUUAAGGAAGCCGGGUGGGUUUUUAAAAUAUUCAAUACAAGUGAAAUGUUAUAUAGUUUUUCCGAGUAUUUUAUCUGAGUUUAAUUUUAGUUACAAUAUAGUAAUUUUAAUAUAAUUUCAUACAAUUCCUUUAUUCCUUUAUAAUUGGAUUUUGUUCUUUUGUGCAAUAUUUUCUAUACUCCGGUAUAAUACUAUAUGGUAUCCUCAUUAUGUUGUCUUAAAUAUUAUUUUUCUCGUGGAUUUACACAAUAGGGGUGGUUUUGAACGCGAAAAUCAAUUUAUAGGUACCUUACAUUAUAUGCAUUUUGAAAUGUAUUUUGUACCCAAGAUUAUGGAUUCUAUUGUUUCCUGAUGGAUUAAAAACAAUUUAUCUCUAUCUCUCUCUAUC